UUUUUUUUUUUUUUUUGCCAGUCAAACACCAUAUAUUAAUUCACGGAAUAAGACUCUCUUCUAGAGAGAGCCAAUCAGGUACCGUCGAACUUACAUGGGAAAAACAGAACCCGCGAUUUCUUGCACAUUUCGCAAGAUAGUCGGCGGAGGUAUACCACUACGAGGGAUAUGCUUAAGACUAAAAGUAGUAAAACGAUCCCUGUAAUAUGUAAAGUCUUUCAAUUCUGUAGAAAACGUAGGCCACUCUUCAGGAGCACAUGUCAUAGCCAAAAGGUCAGAACAAUCCGUCUGAAUGAGGAUACUCGUCAUUGGGAUCGCCAAUAAGCACUUCAUCGUCCAUAUGAGAGUAUCCAGCUCUGCAUGA
rnacentral:lncRNA from 1 species